ACUAGCCAAUGAAGAUCACGUGCGAAGCACGUGAGAAUAACUCAGUAGCGGCUUUCGCUCUCGAUGCCGCGCGUCGUCGGUUUAGGGUCACGGCAACGGUGAGAAGACCGCAACAGAGAGCCCGGCCUCACAGUGAGAAGGACACACCCGAGUCUCUGUCGAGAAGAAAUGGAUCACAAAUCUCGAGAAAUUAUUGGGCGAUGAUUCGGGCUCGUCCACUCACACACACAUUUGGUGUGAUGUCAAGCGGUGGCAUCGCCGUCGCAUUUAAGCUCCGAAAGUGGAGUUUGUCAGCUUCUUCCUGACUUUGGCUCUCAUGCUUGGUGGCAGGGCCUCGGACAAGCCUCUGCCAUGGUCCUUGGACUCGUGCAAUCACUGUAGAAGAAGCAAAGCAAGCAGAUAGUUUAGAUCUUGUGUUCGCCGUAGAAGGAACCAAGACACUGUGGUAGAAUGUGAUCGGGGCAAAUGCUUUAGAGACAAGUGGCUGGUCUUACGCUUACAUGUCCGCUGGUUAUGCAUAGAAUUCUUUACAUGAGAUGAUUUAGAACAAUGACUCGAGACCGGAACUGAAAGCUACAUUGCAGGUCCUGAUGCAAAGAUACAAGCUGGAUUAUGACAUGAAAGAGGAGGAGAUGGACUUGAGGAUUGGGUUCCAUCCCGGCCAAUCUAAUCUUGUUCUCUAAAAUAUCAAAUGCCAGAGUUCUUCUAAAGCAAUUAAGAGGAGAUUUGAUAUUUCCCAAGUCUUACCUUAGAAGAGAAUUUAUGAAAUUGAUCUUAUUUACCAUUUGAUUAUUUUUUAUCCUGUAAAAUGAGUUAGAGAACAACAAAACAAACAUACAUACAUACAAAAUUCUUUUUUCA